UGCAGAAUCCCGUGAACCAUCGAGUCUUUGAACGCAAGUUGCGCCCGAAGCCUUUAGGCCGAGGGCACGUCUGCCUGGGCGUCACGU
rnacentral:rRNA from 1 species